AUUUUAAGAGGAAAUUUUGAACUAUAUACUUAUUUGGGCACUUUGUAUAUAGGGAGUUAGUAGUGCAACCGACCUUGAUUAAU
rnacentral:ncRNA from 16 species